UACGGAGGGAGCUAGCGUUGUUCGGAAAUACUGGGCGUAAAGCGCACGUAGGCGGCGCAGCAAGUCAGGGGUGAAAUCCCGGGGCUCAACCCCGGAACUGCCUCUGAAACUGCAGUGCUAGAAUCUUGGAGAGGCGAGUGGAAUUCCGAGUGUAGAGGUGAAAUUCGUAGAUAUUCGGAAGAACACCAGUGGCGAAGGCGGCUCACUGGCCCGGUACUGACGCUGGAGGUGCGAAAGCGUGGGGAGCAAACAGG
rnacentral:rRNA from 1 species